rnacentral:tRNA from 1 species
AAAUAAGAAGCAACCCUGCAUUUAAUUUCGACUUAAAAGAAAGAGUAAUAAAAUACUCCUUAUUUA